rnacentral:rRNA from 1 species
CCUACGGGGCGCAGCAGUGAGGAAUAUUGGUCAAUGGACGAGAGUCUGAACCAGCCAAGUAGCGUGAAGGAUGACUGCCCUAUGGGUUGUAAACUUCUUUUAUAUGGGAAUAAACUGUUCCACGUGUGGGAUUUUGUAUGUACCAUAUGAAUAAGGAUCGGCUAACUCCGUGCCAGCAGCCGCGGUAAUACGGAGGAUCCGAGCGUUAUCCGGAUUUAUUGGGUUUAAAGGGAGCGUAGGUGGAGUGUUAAGUCAGUUGUGAAAGUUUGCGGCUCAACCGUAAAAUUGCAGUUGAAACUGGCAGUCUUGAGUACAGUAGAGGUGGGCGGAAUUCGUGGUGUAGCGGUGAAAUGCUUAGAUAUCACGAAGAACUCCGAUUGCGAAGGCAGUUCACUGGACUGCAACUGACACUGAGGCUCGAAAGUGUGGGUAUCAAACAGGAUUAGAUACCCUAGUAGUC